rnacentral:rRNA from 1 species
GAUGAACGCUGGCGGCGUGCCUAAUACAUGCAAGUCGAGCGAACAGACGAGGAGCUUGCUCCUCUGACGUUAGCGGCGGACGGGUGAGUAACACGUGGAUAACCUACCUAUAAGACUGGGAUAACUUCGGGAAACCGGAGCUAAUACCGGAUAAUAUAUUGAACCGCAUGGUUCAAUAGUGAAAGACGGUUUUGCUGUCACUUAUAGAUGGAUCCGCGCCGCAUUAGCUAGUUGGUAAGGUAACGGCUUACCAAGGCAACGAUGCGUAGCCGACCUGAGAGGGUGAUCGGCCACACUGGAACUGAGACACGGUCCAGACUCCUACGGGAGGCAGCAGUAGGGAAUCUUCCGCAAUGGGCGAAAGCCUGACGGAGCAACGCCGCGUGAAUGAUGAAGGUCUUCGGUUCGUAAAACUCUGUUAUUAGGGAAGAACAAAUGUGUAAGUAACUAUGCACGUCUUGACGGUACCUAAUCAGAAAGCCACGGCUAACUACGUG